rnacentral:rRNA from 1 species
AAUGAACGCUGGCGGCGUGCUUAACACAUGCAAGUCGAACGAGGCUGAGGGGGCAACUCCUCAGUUUAGUGGCGGACGGGUGAGUAACACGUGGGUAACCUGCCCGGAAGUGGGGAAUACCUCGGGGAGACUCGAGCUAAUACCGCAUGACAUCUUCGGGACGAAAGUCCUGACGAUCAAAGCGGGGUCGCAAGAUCUCGCGCUACCGGAUGGGCCCGCGCCCGAUUAGCUAGUUGGGAGGUAACGGCUCACCAAGGCUCCGAUCGGUAACCGGCCUGAGAGGGCGAUCGGUCACACCGGAACUGAGACACGGUCCGGACUCCUACGGGAGGCAGCAGUGGGGAAUCUUGCGCAAUGGGCGAAAGCCUGACGCAGCGACGCCGCGUGAGGGAUGACGGCCUGG